rnacentral:rRNA from 1 species
AGAGUUUGAUCCUGGCUCAGGACGAACGCUGGCGGCGUGCCUAAUACAUGCAAGUCGAACGCUUCUUUUUCCACCGGAGCUUGCUCCAUCGGAAAAAGAGGAGUGGCGAACGGGUGAGUAACACGUGGGUAACCUGCCCAUCAGAAGGGGAUAACACUUGGAAACAGGUGCUAAUACCGUAUAACAAUCGAAACCGCAUGGUUUUGAUUUGAAAGGCGCUUUCGGGUGUCGCUGAUGGAUGGACCCGCGGUGCAUUAGCUAGUUGGUGAGGUAACGGCUCACCAAGGCGACGAUGCAUAGCCGACCUGAGAGGGUGAUCGGCCACAUUGGGACUGAGACACGGCCCAAACUCCUACGGGAGGCAGCAGUAGGGAAUCUUCGGCAAUGGACGAAAGUCUGACCGAGCAACGCCGCGUGAGUGAAGAAGGUUUUCGGAUCGUAAAACUCUGUUGUUAGAGAAGAACAAGGAUGAGAGUAACUGUUCAUCCCUUGACGGUAUCUAACCAGAAAGCCACGGCUAACUACGUGCCAGCAGCCGCGGUAAUACGUAGGUGGCAAGCGUUGUCCGGAUUUAUUGGGCGUAAAGCGAGCGCAGGCGGUUUCUUAAGUCUGAUGUGAAAGCCCCCGGCUCAACCGGGGGAGGGUCAUUGGAGACUGGGAGACUUGAGUGCAGAAGAGGAGAGUGGAAUUCCAUGUGUAGCGGUGAAAUGCGUAGAUAUAUGGAGGAACACCAGUGGCGAAGGCGGCUCUCUGGUCUGUAACUGACGCUGAGGCUCGAAAGCGUGGGGAGCAAACAGGAUUAGAUACCCUGGUAGUCCACGCCGUAAACGAUGAGU